rnacentral:rRNA from 1 species
ACGGGUGAGUAACGCGUGGGUAACCUGCCUCAUACAGGGGGAUAACAGUUAGAAAUGACUGCUAAUACCGCAUAAGCGCACAGGGCUGCAUGGCCCGGUGUGAAAAACUCCGGUGGUAUGAGAUGGACCCGUGUCUGAUUAGCUGGUUGGAGGGGUAAUGGCCCACCAAGGCGACGAUCAGUAGCCGGCCUGAGAGGGUGAACGGCCACAUUGGGACUGGGACACGGCCCAGACUCCUACGGGAGGCAGCAGUGGGGAAUAUUGCACAAUGGGGGAAACCCUGAUGCAGCGACGCCGCGUGAAGGAAGAAGUAUCUCGGUAUGUAAACUUCUAUCAGCAGGGAAGAAAAUGACGGUACCUGACUAAGAAGCCCCGGCUAACUACGUGCCAGCAGCCGCGGUAAUACGUAGGGGGCAAGCGUUAUCCGGAUUUACUGGGUGUAAAGGGAGCGUAGACGGAAGAGCAAGUCUGAUGUGAAAGGCUGGGGCUUAACCCCAGGACUGCAUUGGAAACUGUUUUUCUAGAGUGCCGGAGAGGUAAGCGGAAUUCCUAGUGUAGCGGUGAAAUGCGUAGAUAUUAGGAGGAACACCAGUGGCGAAGGCGGCUUACUGGACGGUAACUGACGUUGAGGCUCGAAAGCGUGGGGAGCAAACAGGAUUAGAUACCCUGGUAGUCCACGCCGUAAA